UUUAAUGGCAUGUCUCAGCAAGUGGGAGUUGUAGGUUAUGCUUGGGGUUUUUGCAUAAGAUUGUAAAUACAAUGAGGUAAUAAGAACUGGGCUAAGCCCUUGAGCUUGUGUGUGUGCAUGUGAGCUUUGCUAAGCGAUUACGUGCGUACAAGGCAUACCGUCCACAUGCCAACCUAUGUGUUAGUCUACCAGCAUUGCAGACAUGGCAUAUUCAAGGCAUUCUGGUUCACUCAGCAAGUGGACCAAGGUAUCAGAAAUAGGUGGAUGGCUAAGAAAACUUAGGUUUUUCUCAGCCGUACAUUGGUUUCAUAAACUGUGGCCCACCUGACAGGUUGAAUGACCUGAUACUUGGGCCAGGGCGUCUACAUUCUUAAUGUAUGGAUUGGAUCUUGUACCUAUGUGACAUGCUGGCAGGUGUGUGGUGUAUACACGAGCUACUUUGUACACACGUGUAGAUUUAUCAAGGUGAUAUUAUGUAUUUAUGUAUCAUGUGAGGUUAAGCACUUCUGAACUUGGUUGUACAUGAGAAAAAAGGAAGCUAAUUGGGUCCUCUUUAUGGGAUCGUUUUCAUGGAUUAUACCUAGUUUUUACUUUAUUCUAUUUUCCUCUUGCAUUUGCUUGAGGUGAAAGAAAACUAUCAUCUGCUGUUCGAUGGUACAGGAAUUUUGUGUGGUUGAUUUACAAGAGCUUUGGAAGUAAAAGGAAUUGAAAUGUGAUGACAGACAGGUGUGUAGGGAUGUGGCUAUGUAGAUUGGUGAACCAGUCCCCUAUAUAUGGAGCUACUUCAAGGCAUAGUUCAAAGACUUGCUUGAUUUGACUCGGAAUUCGGCCGAGUCAACUAACUCAGUGAGAUUUCAAGACGGGUCAGUGAGAAACUCGCUUAUAAGUGUUGGUUGGUCAAGUUUUGGUAUGACUUGUUGGGUCCACUCACUGACUUGGCAGGCUCAAUCCAACUCAGCAUGACUUGAACCACGUCACCUGCCCAGUCAAAAGGUCUUUAAAAGGAAAAUUGCUACGGAAUGCUAGAGUUUCUUCUAUUCAUCUGCAGUUACAAUCUUGCAUAGGCCAUUGCAUUCAAAGGCGCAUGUGGGCAUCUGCAUCUGCCCAUGUGGAAGACACAUCCAAUAUAAUCAGAUUGUAUGCAAUGGUACAUUUCAUGGUCUUGGGGUUCUAAGUCUUUCUACAGCUUCUCAUUGACAGUCUUAAGAUAUCAAGCAAUUGGGUCGCAAGAGCAUUGCAUGUUGUCGGCGUGGGGACAUAACAGGUAUAUACUAUAGUAAAAUGUGGGUGACUCAUCAUGUGGGUGAGGCACAAGGUGAGGUCAGCAUCAAAGGGUGGAUCAUGGAGGAUGACAUGGGCCAUGAGAGAGCGAUACAUAGCCACACUCCCACGUCAGAAAGAGACCCAAAAGCUUCACCUUAUUUUAGUGGCACCCGCAUUCAAAGGGGACCGCCGCAAACACCAUGCGCCACGUAUGGCCGGUGCCCAUCAGAUUAUUCUUUCGUUCAAUUCAAAUGGGGCAGGGCACGUGGCUGCUGGAAGCUGGUGGGCCCGCGAUAGGACCCGGUGAGAGCGGCAGGAUCUGUUUCAUCCGGGCCUGUCCAGUUCAUGGGUCCUUUUCUAUCAGUUUCUGGGGGGAUUUGCUCUUUUACCCAAUCCUGCUGUUGUGGGCCCAUGUCAUAACCUGUAAUGGCCAGUGAAGAAUCAAAAGCUGGUAUUUGGUGCCAUUCCGUGAAAGGUGGUUCACUUGACUUUUAACCACUUUCACCUGAGUAAGUUGUUUUUGUCAUAGAGCAUUGAAAAUAAAUAAAUAAAACCUGUAAGGAAAUGAGAUGCACUCAAAAAAAAGUUUUGAAUUUAGUAUUCAA